rnacentral:rRNA from 1 species
CUCCUACGGGAGGCAGCAGUGAGGAAUAUUGGACAAUGGGGGCAACCCUGAUCCAGCAAUGCCAUGUGUGUGAAGAAGGCCUUAGGGUUGUAAAGCACUUUAGUUGGGGAAGAAAGCUUUGAGGUUAAUAGCCUUGAGGAAAAGGACGUUACCCAAAGAAUAAGCACCGGCUAACUCCGUGCCAGCAGCCGCGGUAAUACGGGGGGUGCAAGCGUUAAUCGGAAUUACUGGGCGUAAAGGGUCUGUAGGUGGUUUGUUAAGUCAGAUGUGAAAGCCUAGGGCUCAACCUUGGAACUGCAUUUGAUACUGGUAAACUAGAGUACGGUAGAGGAAUGGGGAAUUUCUGGUGUAGCGGUGAAAUGCGUAGAGAUCAGAAGGAACACCAAUGGCGAAGGCAACAUUCUGGACCGAUACUGACACUGAGGGACGAAAGCGUGGGGAUCAAACAGGAUUAGAUACCCUGGUGGUCCACGCUGUAAACGAUGAGUACUAGCUGUUGGAGUCGGUGUAAAGGCUCUAGUGGCGUAGCUAACGCGAUAAGUACUCCGCCUGGGGACUACGGCCGCAAGGCUAAAACUCAAAGGAAUUGACGGGGACCC